CCCGCCCGCCGCGUGGGGUGACCACGUCCGGGGUUACUCCAGGCUGUUCACCUCCGACCCCGCUCCGGGCCGCCGCGCCGUCCGGCCGGCUGAGAGGCAACCCGCGGGUCCCGAGGGCCCGGCGACAGCCAAUGGGAGGGCGGCGAGGGGCGGGGCGACGUGAGGCGAUGCCGAUGGUCCGAGCGCGCUCUGCCAUUCGGGACCCAGCGGCUCGGAGGCGGGCGGGUCUAGGGCCGUCGCCGAGCCCCGAGGCCCGGCCUUCGCCGCCCUUUCUGCCGGGGGCGGGGGCGGGGUCCAGGGCCGGCCGGCCGCCCCCGCUUCUGGCGAACAGGGGAGGGGGGAAAUGGCCCUGCGUGCUCCUCCGACCGGGGAGCGAAACGCCCGGGGCCAGCAGGCGUGUAGCGUGGGAAGGGAGCCCCGCACCGAGCGAGACGGAGUAGAGUGGCUGGUGUGCGGGCCUCGGGAGGACCUCUGCGUGUUCAGUUCUAACCCCCUGAAGAGCAGACUUCCAUGGUGGCUGUGUUGAAAAUAGGAACUAAAGGAAGUCCCAACAUAUAAUAACUAUUGUGCGGGAGAAAAGAGAAAAUUGCACUUCAGAAGAAUGGAGUGAGUUUAACCCCUUGCAAGGAUUUAAUGAGCGCCCAGAGUACUUUUCCGAUCCUUACACAAGCUUGUGCUAAAGGCCAAGAGAUGUACAGAGGAUGAUUUGGCAAGAAGUUCUGUGCCAGAGGGCAAAAAAUGCAUAGGGUAGAAGAAACACACACCUGAGGUCAGAAGUUCUUGGGCCAAGGAGAGGCAGGAAGAUUGGAGGAUUGACCAACCAGGAGCAAUAUUCAUCUAGGAGCCCUCAAUGCCAUGAGGAGGUGGCUUCUCUAAGAAUUUACCAACCUACUUUAAAAUAUUAGGGACUAGAAACAGAAAUUUAGAAAGAUGUACACUUGACAGAGCACUGACCCACAUUUCACAAUAGCUGUGUUUGUCAUUGGAUGCAUGUCAGUUGAACAAACAAAGGAAAUCAGAACUUAAAGAUAAUUGCAGGUUUAACAGGAUGUUUGACUUGGCUUACUGG